rnacentral:rRNA from 1 species
CCUACGGGAGGCAGCAGUGGGGAAUAUUGCGCAAUGGGCGAAAGCCUGACGCAGCGACGCCGCGUGAGGGAUGAAGGUCUUCGGAUCGUAAACCUCCGUCAGCAGGGAAGAACGGUCACUGUGCUAAUCAGCAGUGAAUUGACGGUACCUGCAAAGGAAGCACCGGCUAACUCCGUGCCAGCAGCCGCGGGAAUACGGAGGGUGCGAGCGUUAAUCGGAAUUACUGGGCGUAAAGCGGUCGUAGGCGGGAUGUCAAGUCCAGGGUGAAAUCCGCGCGCCCAACGUGUGAACUGCCGUUGAAACUGGCGAACUAGAGUGUGUGAGAGGAUAGUGGAAUUCCAGGUGUAGGAGUGAAAUCCGUAGAUAUCUGGAGGAACAUCAGUGGCGAAGGCGACUAUCUGGCACAUAACUGACGCUGAGGAGCGAAAGCGUGGGUAGCAAACAGGAUUAGAUACCCCAGUAGUC